CUCCCUGUACCUCAGUUAGUAGAGCAUGGUGUUUGCAACGCCAGGGUUGUGGGUUCGAUUCCCACGGGGGGC
rnacentral:tRNA from 1 species